rnacentral:rRNA from 1 species
AUUGAACGCUGGCGGCAUGCUUUACACAUGCAAGUCGAACGGCAGCGCGGGCUUCGGCCUGGCGGCGAGUGGCGAACGGGUGAGUAAUACAUCGGAACGUGCCCAGUAGUGGGGGAUAGCUCAGCGAAAGCCGGAUUAAUACCGCAUACGACCUGAGGGUGAAAGCGGGGGAUCUUCGGACCUCGCGCUAUUGGAGCGGCCGAUGGCAGAUUAGCUAGUUGGUGGGGUAAAGGCCUACCAAGGCGACGAUCUGUAGCUGGUCUGAGAGGACGACCAGCCACACUGGGACUGAGACACGGCCCAGACUCCUACGGGAGGCAGCAGUGGGGAAUGUUGGACAAUGGGCGAAAGCCUGAUCCAGCAAUGCCGCGUGUGUGAUGAAGGCCUUCGGGUUGUAAAGCACUUUUGGCGGGAACGAAAAGGACUGUGCCAAUACCACGGUUCGAUGACGGUACCCGCAGAAUAAGCACCGGCUAACUACGUG